rnacentral:rRNA from 1 species
AGCGAACGCUGGCGGCAGGCUUAACACAUGCAAGUCGAGCGCCCCGCAAGGGGAGCGGCAGACGGGAGAGUAACACGUGGGAACGUACCCUUUAGUUAGGAACAACCCAGGGAAACUUGGGCUAAUACCGGAUACGUCCGUAAGGAGAAAGAUUUAUCGCUAAAGGAUCGGCCCGCGUCUGAUUAGCUAGUUGGUGAGGUAACGGCUCACCAAGGCGACGAUCAGUAGCUGGUCUGAGAGGAUGAUCAGCCUCACUGGGACUGAGACACGGCCCAGACUCCUACGGGAGGCAGCAGUGGGGAAUAUUGGACAAUGGGCGCAAGCCUGAUCCAGCCAUGCCGCGUGGGUGAUGAAGGCCCUAGGGUUGUAAAGCCCUUUCGGCGGGGAAGAUAAUGACGGUACCCGCAGAAGAAGCCCCGGCUAACUUCGUGCCAGCAGCCGCCGCAG